rnacentral:lncRNA from 11 species
GGGUAAAUGUUUUCGUGGAAGUCUGGUGGUUAUUUAUUUAUUUUCAUUUAUUUGUUUUACUUAGAUCCUACAUCUGCCACAUCAUAUUAAAAGCCAAAAGGCUCUUUAAAUAAAUAACCAAUAUUGAUUGAGGCCACUUCCACACAUACAUUAUAACCCAGAUUAAAUUGGGUUAAAAGGGGGAGGGGUGCAGGAGGAAUUAGGUUAAAGGCUGGAAAACACGUGUUUAAAAGUUUCCCUUUAAACCCGGUUCUUCCUGAGAAACAUGCAUUUUUCCAUGCCUGUGUAUCUCUGCAGGCAUGGAAAAACAUGUUUUCCUUCUCUCCCCUCCCUCCUGUCUGGACUUCCUCCCUGGCUCCCAUUUCCCUCUCAACUUACGAGAACCUUCAGCAGAUACAGGCCUGAAGCCUUUGCCCCACUUCCUCUUGCCUGGAAGUACCAAGGGCCUUAGAGGAGAAAUCCCCCUCCUCGACCCAAAGCCCUCCUUCAGCUCUUACAAGGGAGGGAGGGGAGGAGUGAGAAAGGCUUCAGGCCUUGUCGGAGUGGAGUCUUCUCCCCGUAAGUGCAGGGGAAGGUGGAGGGAAGGGAGGGAGAGGCUGGCCAUGAUGCCCACCCCUCCAAUCUCGGAUCAGCAGGGGCUGCUCCACAACCAUGACACCGUCAUUGGAAAAGGCUUCAUGAAAUCAGUAAGGUGGACAUUCAGUCAAGAGUUAAACUGGCAAGAUUCGAGAAGCGUAUGUAAUUGUGGGGAGAUAUGAAUAAAACUCACUGAUUGGGGGCGAAGACCUCCUAGUGGACUGUUAUACUAGGAAUAAACAAGACAUUGUGAUUAUGCAUUUCCCUACCCAACAGAAAUUAGAUUAUGUUCUACCUUGUAUAAGUAACAACUAUGCAUUGCCAGUUUACAGAAGACAAAAUAAUCCUCCCAUGAAACAGCCAACACUUUUCACUGCAACAAAACAAAGACAAAGAAACAUUGUGACAAACAUCAAAAAGCAAUCUGACACUGGUAAACAAUAAUCAAUUAUUUAAAACAAUUCUCUGAAAAAAACCUGCAGCAAUUUAUCUUUUCCAAACAAGAAUUGGAAGAAAAUUAGCUUUAAACUGUCAUAAUGUCAAAUUAGGUAAAUUUCCUACUUAAAAUUAAUCAACACCCAGGUUAUUCUUUGUUCUAUGUAAUAAUUUUCUUUUCAGCCUUUAAUCCCAACUAACUUGAGGGGACAUGUUUCAGGAUUUGUCCUAUUGUCUUCAAAAUGUCUUUGGUCAGGUCAUUGGAUAAUGAGUCAGGCCAUUGGAUCAAAUAGGUCAGUAUAGAACUUAGCCGGUAAUUUUCUUGUACUAUAUGAAAAUCCCUAUAAUCUCUUUCACAAUUUGGCCAUUGUUCAUGUUGACUGGGAGAAGCUGGAGAUGUAUAUUUUCUAAGUUCUAGUUCCACAUGGGCUAUUAUGACUGAUCUCAUGUUCAAGAUGUCUGAGCAUGCAAAACAUGAGUUUUUACUAUUUAAUUCAUGGGGAAAGGUUAGGAUUUCUUGUAAAGGAGUGAGAAUAGGCAAAGAAUUGUAAAUAGAAAAGAUAGUGCUACCACAUGUGAAGAUCCUGAUUCAAUCUUCGGGUUGUCAUAAAUCAGAAAUGAUUUGAAGGCAAACGACAACAAAAGACCAGAAAGUACACUAUAUUCUCUUUGAGGAUCUUCUUUAUUGUAUGGAAAUAAAAAGUUGUAUUUCUUCUUUGUUAGAAUGCUUCAGUGGACAUAUAUUAUGUGGACAUCUUAAAUCUGGUAGUUUAAAAUCAAUGAGCAAAAAAGUGAAAAUUCUAGAUUUUACAUUCAUGUUUAAGGUAAAAUUAAAGGUUUUUCCCUGACAUUAAGUCUAGUCGUGUCUGACUGGGGGUUGGUGCUAUCCUAAGUAUUUACAUAUUUUAUGUUGCUUUCUUUCAUUUCAAAAGGAGAAUUCCCACUGAUUUCUCGCUUAAGGUGAGGUGUUAUGUAGCUCUGAUGAGCAUUACAUAUUAUAUAGAUAUACUGCUGAGCUAUCAGGAAACUUGUAUAGUGCAGUUAGGAGAGUAUCCAGCCAAAAAUGUGAUAAUUGCCUUUUAAUUAGUUGUGUACAUUGAGUUUAGCUGAAAUGUGAAGUCAAAGCAAAAUCAGGCCCCUUUAGAUUCGUUUGAGUAGUUUCCAAGAUGAAGAAAACUAUUCUUUGGUGCUAAUAGAAUUGAAUCUAGAACCAUUUAAUUCCUCAUUCAGAUUUUGGACUUUGGAAAGGCGGGUGCUCUGUUAUCAAAAAUACUCAGGAAGAAUGAGUAAGAAAAAGUGCAAAGUUGAGUCACAUUAAAAUCUUUGGGCAUAUUUUAAUGAUAUUUUCACAGUUGGACUUUGGAGCAGAAUUGUGCUUCCUGCUUCCUAAUGUCCCUGUGGAAUUCUUGCACCUUUAUAAUUUUAAAAAAUUGAACUUCAUAUGGAUCCAGAUCUGAAAUAAGUAGAAUGCAGAUCUUUUUGAGCUUUGGCAUUUGUGGACUUGCUCCAACAAACAUUUUGCCAAGGUUCCAAUUUGACCCUACAUACCCCAGAUUAUCUUUAGAUGGCUCUAGGAAGAUUCAAUGAAAGCUUUUUUUUUUUUUUUUUGCUCAGUGUUUUAUCUUCUGGGGAUAUUUUCUUUAUAUGUUGUAGCUACCUCCCCUUUUGGGGCAUAUGCAUUUUGAGAAAAUGUGGUUUUGGUAUUCAGCAAGUUUUUUAUUUACACUAGGCAGUGUGUAAAUCACUAUGCGUAUUAAGAAUGUUCACCAGAGCGUAGAUAAUCUUCUAAUAAUUAAAAGGGAUACUUCUGAAAUAAAUUAAUUUUAAUCUAAGAAUGCUUUUGUUGUUUAUUUGUUCAAUUGCUUCCGACUCUUUGUGACCUCAUGGACCAGCCCAUGCCAGAGCUUUCUGUCAGCUGUCGCCGCC